GCAAAUAUUGAGGUACCCGAGCUCUGAGAGGCAAAUAUUGAAGUACCCGAGCUCUGCGAGCCAAACAGUGAUGAACUUGUGCUAUGAGAGCUAAAUGAUGAAGCCGAGCUUUGUGGACUAGAAAAUACACUACUUGUGCUCUGACCAACUAACGAACUUGAGCUCUGUGAGCUAAAUAAGGAACCUGAUGUCAUCAGGCUUGGAGAGCUAGCAGAUGUACCCGCUUGAGAAAACCCAUUAUUUA
rnacentral:misc_RNA from 1 species